CCUACGUGGGGCAGCAGUGAGGAAUAUUGGUCAAUGGACGAGAGUCUGAACCAGCCAAGUAGCGUGAAGGAUGACUGCCCUAUGGGUUGUAAACUUCUUUUAUAAAGGAAUAAAACGAGGCACGUGUGCCUUUUUGCAUGUACUUUAUGAAUAAGGAUCGGCUAACUCCGUGCCAGCAGCCGCGGUAAUACGGAGGAUCCGAGCGUUAUCCGGAUUUAUUGGGUUUAAAGGGAGCGUAGAUGGGUUGUUAAGUCAGUUGUGAAAGUUUGCGGCUCAACCGUAAAAUUGCAAUUGAUACUGCAGUCUUGAGUACAGUUGAGGUAGGCGGAAUUCGUGGUGUAGCGGUGAAAUGCUUAGAUAUCACGAAGAACCCCGAUUGCGAAGGCAGCUUACUAAACUGUGACUGACAUUGAUGCUCGAAAGUGUGGGUAUCAAACAGGAUUAGAUACCCGGGUAGUC
rnacentral:rRNA from 1 species